GAUGAACGCUGGCGGCGUGCCUAAUACAUGCAAGUCGAGCGAACGGACGAGAAGCUUGCUUCUCUGAUGUUAGCGGCGGACGGGUGAGUAACACGUGGAUAACCUACCUAUAAGACUGGGAUAACUUCGGGAAACCGGAGCUAAUACCGGAUGAUAUUUUGAACCGCAUGGUUCAAAAGUGAAAGACGGUCUUGCUGUCACUUAUAGAUGGAUCCGCGCUGCAUUAGCUAGUUGGUAAGGUAACGGCUUACCAAGGCAACGAUGCAUAGCCGACCUGAGAGGGUGAUCGGCCACACUGGAACUGAGACACGGUCCAGACUCCUACGGGAGGCAGCAGUAGGGAAUCUUCCGCAAUGGGCGAAAGCCUGACGGAGCAACGCCGCGUGAGUGAUGAAGGUCUUCGGAUCGUNAAACUCUGUUAUUAGGGAAGAACAUAUGUGUAAGUAACUGUGCACAUCUUGACGGUACCUAAUCAGAAAGCCACGGCUAACUACGUGCCAGCAGCCGCGGUAAUACGUAGGUGGCAAGCGUUAUCCGGAAUUAUUGGGCGUAAAGCGCGCGUAGGCGGUUUUUUAAGUCUGAUGUGAAAGCCCACGGCUCAACCGUGGAGGGUCAUUGGAAACUGGAAAACUUGAGUGCAGAAGAGGAAAGUGGAAUUCCAUGUGUAGCGGUGAAAUGCGCAGAGAUAUGGAGGAACACCAGUGGCGAAGGCGACUUUCUGGUCUGUAACUGACGCUGAUGUGCGAAAGCGUGGGGAUCAAACAGGAUUAGAUACCCUGGUAGUCCACGCCGUAAACGAUGAGUGCUAAGUGUUAGGGGGUUUCCGCCCCUUAGUGCUGCAGCUAACGCAUUAAGCACUCCGCCUGGGGAGUACGACCGCAAGGUUGAAACUCAAAGGAAUUGACGGGGACCCGCACAAGCGGUGGAGCAUGUGGUUUAAUUCGAAGCAACGCGAAGAACCUUACCAAAUCUUGACAUCCUUUGACAACUCUAGAGAUAGAGCUUUCCCCUUCGGGGGACAAAGUGACAGGUGGUGCAUGGUUGUCGUCAGCUCGUGUCGUGAGAUGUUGGGUUAAGUCCCGCAACGAGCGCAACCCUUAAGCUUAGUUGCCAUCAUUAAGUUGGGCACUCUAAGUUGACUGCCGGUGACAAACCGGAGGAAGGUGGGGAUGACGUCAAAUCAUCAUGCCCCUUAUGAUUUGGGCUACACACGUGCUACAAUGGACAAUACAAAGGGCAGCGAAACCGCGAGGUCAAGCAAAUCCCAUAAAGUUGUUCUCAGUUCGGAUUGUAGUCUGCAACUCGACUACAUGAAGCUGGAAUCGCUAGUAAUCGUAGAUCAGCAUGCUACGGUGAAUACGUUCCCGGGUCU
rnacentral:rRNA from 1 species